rnacentral:rRNA from 1 species
AUUGAACGCUGGCGGCAGGCCUAACACAUGCAAGUCGAACGAGUGGCGGACGGGUGAGUAAUGUCUGGGAAACUGCCUGAUGGAGGGGGAUAACUACUGGAAACGGUAGCUAAUACCGCAUACCAUCGGAUGUGCCCAGAUGGGAUUAGCUAGUAGGUGGGGUAAAGGCUCACCUAGGCGACGAUCCCUAGCUGGUCUGAGAGGAGGACCAGCCACAGUUGAACUGAGACACGGUCCAGACUCCUACGGGAGGCAGCAUGGGGGAAUAUUGCACAAGGGGCGCAAGCCUGAUGCAGCCAUGCCGCGUGGAUGAAGAAGGCCUUAGGGUUGUAAAGUACUUUCAGCGGGGAGGCGUUACCCGCAGAAGAAGCACCGGCGAACUCCGUGCCAGCAGCCGCGGUAAUUC